AUUGAACGCUGGCGGCAGGCCUAACACAUGCAAGUCGACCGAGUGGCGGACGGGUGAGUAAUGUCUGGGACCCUGCCUGAUGGAGGGGGAUAACUACUGGAAACGGUAGCUAAUACCGCAUACCAUGGGAUGUGCCCAUAGGGGAUUGUCUAGUGGGUGGGGUAAAGGCUCACCUAGGAGACGAUCCCUAGCUGGUCUGAGAGGAGGACCAGCCACACCGGAACUGGGACACGGUCCAGACGCCUCCGUGGGGCAGCAGUGGGGACUAUUGCACAAUGGGCGCAAGCCUGAUGCAGCCAUGCAGCGUGUAUGAAGAAGGCCUUCGGGUUGUAAAGUACUUUCAGCGGGGAGGCGGUACCCGCAGAAGAAGCACCGGCUAACUCCGUGCUAGCAGCCGCGGUAAUAC
rnacentral:rRNA from 1 species